AAAGUGCGCGGAUCCUUCCCUGGAUCGGGUCACCGCGCGGGUCGCUGAGGCUAAAACGGCGCCGUAUCAAUAAAUAACGUAAAAAAAAAAUAAAAAAAACCCUAAUCUAAAACUAAUAUGUUAUUUGAAAACAAAAGAAAACUAACUAAAACCUAAGCACUUUGCGUCGCUCUGCGUUCGUCCGUUCAAGGACUCUUCGGACCUAGCCCACAC
rnacentral:lncRNA from 1 species